rnacentral:rRNA from 1 species
UACGAAGGGGGCUAGCGUUGCUCGGAAUCACUGGGCGUAAAGGGUGCGUAGGCGGCUCUUUAAGUCCGGGGUGAAAUCCUGGAGCUCAACUCCAGAACUGCCUUUGAUACUGAAGAUCUUGAGUUCGGGAGAGGUGAGUGGAACUGCGAGUGUAGAGGUGAAAUUCGUAGAUAUUCGCAAGAACACCAGUGGCGAAGGCGGCUCACUGGCCCGAUACUGACGCUGAGGCACGAAAGCGUGGGGAGCAAACAGG